rnacentral:sRNA from 1 species
UGUCUUGGGCUGCACACGUGCUACAAUGGCCGGUACAAUGAGCUGCGAUACCGCAAGGUGGAGCGAAUCUCAAAAAGCCGGUCUCAGUUCGGAUUGGGGUCUGCAACUCGACCCCAUGAAGUCGGAGUCGCUAGUAAUCGCAGAUCAGCAUUGCUGCGGUGAAUACGUUCCCGGGCCUUGUACACACCGCCCGUCACGUCACGAAAGUCGGUAACACCCGAAGCCGGUGGCCCAACCCCUUGUGGGAGGGAGCUGUCGAAGGUGGGACUGGCGAUUGGGACGAAGUCGUAACAAGGUAGCCGUACCGGAAGGUGCGAAGGAGCACAUAGCCGACUGCAGGCAAAUGUCCUGCACGGUUGCUCAUGGGUGGAACGUUCACUACUCGGCAGACUUGAUCCUGAUCUUCUCGUCAGUACUGCUUCGGCGUGGAACACGAGUAAGGGAAGGCAAGGGUGUCGGGCACGCUGUUGGGUAUCUGAGGGUACGGCCGUGAGGUCGCCUUCAGUUGCCGGCCCCAGUGCACUCGGGAUGUAGGUUCCGGGGUGUUGGGUGGUUGGUCGUUGUUUGAGAACUGCAGGCCAAGUUUUUAAGGGCGC